UAGGGAAUCUUCGGCAAUGGGGGGAACCCUGACCGAGCAACGCCGCGUGAGUGAAGAAGGUUUUCGGAUCGUAAAGCUCUGUUGUUAAGGAAGAACGAGUGUGAGAAUGGAAAGUUCAUACUGUGACGGUACUUAACCAGAAAGGGACGGCUAACUACGUGCCAGCAGCCGCGGUAAUACGUAGGUCCCGAGCGUUGUCCGGAUUCAUUGGGCGUAAAGCGAGCGCAGGCGGUUAGAUAAGUCUGAAGUUAAAGGCAGUGGCUCAACCAUUGUAGGCUUUGGAAGCUGUUUAACUUGAGUGCAGAAGGGGAGAGUGGAAUUCCAUGUGUAGCGGUGAAAUGCGUAGAUAUAUGGAGGAACACCGGUGGCGAAAGCGGCUCUCUGGUCUGUAACUGACGCUGAGGCUCGAAAGCGUGGGGAGCGAACAGG
rnacentral:rRNA from 1 species